GCCGCGACGCCCGCGAAGCCUGGAGCCCGCUGCAGCCGCCACCGGAUCCCGGGAUGGGACGAGAGACUGCGGAGGAAGCCAGCAUCUCCCAGCCUGGAGCUCCGGGGGCCGCGGAGCCAACGCCGCCGCCGCCGCUGUUGCCUCUGCUGCUGAGACCAGGCUGGAGAUGGUGGGACAUUUGGGCACUUGCGGCCCUUUUCCGGAAUGCUCUCGGGAUCUAGCAGAGGGAAAAGACUAAUCAGAGGAGCAAGAACAGACUGGCGGCUCCAUAUGAAGGAGCAGGCCCCAGUGCCUACAGCCCUGCAUGGUGCCCUGUGCCAUUUGGUCUCCUCCGGACCAUCAGCCAUGCUGCUCAGAGCGCUUUGAAGGCUGGAGCCCUUCCCCGUGUCUCUGCUCUCCACCACUUCGCUCCCAUUGUGGGGGACCCGUCGAGUUCCUGUACAUGAGCCACCUCAUCGGGGUGUGCCUUGCCCAGUCAGGACUAGACUUUUUCCAACCCCAGACCAGUUGUGAGAGCCCAGCAGCACUGACUGCAGCUGCAGAUAUGGAACCUGCCCCGCAUCCCAGGUAUAAAUC